GCGGCGUGCCUAAUACAUGCAAGUCAGAGCGAACAGAUGAGGAGCUUGCU
rnacentral:rRNA from 1 species